rnacentral:misc_RNA from 1 species
ACACUUAUUUAGAAAAAUAACUAAUAAUGAAAAAUUACAAAAGUGAGACCUAUUUAUAGGCACUCAAACAAAGACAUAAUCCUACUAGGAAAACUUAAACUAAUUGUACUUGUGCAACAUCUCCUUUAAAACUAAUCCUACUUGUGCUACAUCUCCUUUAAUAAAUAUAACUCUGAAAACAAACAAAAAAUAAAUAAUUAAGCCUAACUGAUAUGAACUUGCUUAACUCUACCUUAAAAGCUAGCUUACAAGGAGAGGUUUGUAAACCCAUAUAUAUAACACCCAAGACCUUCGUGCAGAACCGAUGUGGAAUGCAUCAUUCUCGAC